CGUAGGGUGCGAGCGUUAAUCGGAAUUACUGGGCGUAAAGUGUGCGCAGGUGGCCGCGCAAGUCGAGUGUGAAAUCCCCGAGCUUAACUUGGGAAUUGCGCUCGAAACUACGUGGCUCGAGUGUGGCAGAGGAAGGUGGAAUUCCACGUGUAGCGGUGAAAUGCGUAGAGAUGUGGAGGAACACCGAUGGCGAAGGCAGCCUUCUGGGCCAACACUGACGCUCAUGCACGAAAACGUGGGGAGCAAACAGGAUUAGAUACCCUGGUAGUCCACGCCCUAAACGAUGAUGACUAGUUGUUGGAGGAGUUAAAUCCUUUAGUAACGCAGCUAACGCGUGAAGUCAUCCGCCUGGGGAGUACGGUCGCAAGAUUA
rnacentral:rRNA from 1 species